AGAGUUUGAUCCUGGCUCAGAUUGAACGCUGGCGGCAGGCCUAACACAUGCAAGUCGAGCGGAUGAAGAGAGCUUGCUCUCUGAUUCAGCGGCGGACGGGUGAGUAAUGCCUAGGAAUCUGCCUGGUAGUGGGGGACAACGUCUCGAAAGGGACGCUAAUACCGCAUACGUCCUACGGGAGAAAGCAGGGGACCUUCGGGCCUUGCGCUAUCAGAUGAGCCUAGGUCGGAUUAGCUAGUUGGUGAGGUAAUGGCUCACCAAGGCGACGAUCCGUAACUGGUCUGAGAGGAUGAUCAGUCACACUGGAACUGAGACACGGUCCAGACUCCUACGGGAGGCAGCAGUGGGGAAUAUUGGACAAUGGGCGAAAGCCUGAUCCAGCCAUGCCGCGUGUGUGAAGAAGGUCUUCGGAUUGUAAAGCACUUUAAGUUGGGAGGAAGGGCAGUAAAUUAAUACUUUGCUGUUUUGACGUUACCGACAGAAUAAGCACCGGCUAACUCUGUGCCAGCAGCCGCGGUAAUACAGAGGGUGCAAGCGUUAAUCGGAAUUACUGGGCGUAAAGCGCGCGUAGGUGGUUUGUUAAGUUGGAUGUGAAAUCCCCGGGCUCAACCUGGGAACUGCAUUCAAAACUGACAAGCUAGAGUAUGGUAGAGGGUGGUGGAAUUUCCUGUGUAGCGGUGAAAUGCGUAGAUAUAGGAAGGAACACCAGUGGCGAAGGCGACCACCGGACGAUACGACAUGAGGUGGAAAGCGUGAAGUUCAUG
rnacentral:rRNA from 1 species